AUUGAACGCUGGCGGCAGGCCUAACACAUGCAAGUCGAGCGGAUGAAGGGAGCUUGCUCCUGGAUUCAGCGGCGGACAGGUGAGUAAUGCCUAGGAAUCUGCCUGGUAGUGGGGGAUAACGUCCGGAAACGGGCGCUAAUACCGCAUACGUCCUGAGGGAGAAAGUGGGGGAUCUUCGGACCUCACGCUAUCAGAUGAGCCUAGGUCGGAUUAGCUAGUCGGUGGGGUAAAGGCCUACCAAGGCGACGAUCCGUAACUGGUCUGAGAGGAUGAUCAGUCACACUGGAACUGAGACACGGUCCAGACUCCUACGGGAGGCAGCAGUGGGGAAUAUUGGACAAUGGGCGAAAGCCUGAUCCAGCCAUGCCGCGUGUGUGAAGAAGGUCUUCGGAUUGUAAAGCACUUUAAGUUGGGAGGAAGGGCAGUAAGUUAAUACCUUGCUGUUUUGACGUUACCAACAGAAUAAGCACCGGCUAACUUCGUG
rnacentral:rRNA from 1 species